rnacentral:lncRNA from 1 species
GCCACUCAGCUCCGCCCCUCGCCCCGUCCCCCCGAGGGAGGGCCGCCUCCUGAUUGGCCGCUCGAGCGCCAGGCAGGAUGGGAUUGGAAGCCAAAUAUGGGCGGGAGAAGAGGGGCCAGGCGCUGGGCCUCCGGGAGGGAGACGCAACCCGGGGGCUGGGAAAGGCCCGAGAGUGUUGUUUUGGAUUCCUAACGAAUUUCCAGUGAAAGAGAAAUGGAGAGACAAGACAUUUUCAGAUCAUGUCAAAUCUUGUACAUUAAAAUAAGGUAACCAGAAAUUAAAUAAGGACAUAUAACAUGCUCAGGAGUGCUAUGAAGAAACACCACAGUCAUGUGGACCUUUGUUUUUGUUUGCCUUCCUGUGUGUUGGAACUGCACUUCAACGUUCUAGAUAAAACCAGAGCCAUGAACUUGAACUGCGGUUUGCUUUUAAAGAUGUGUGUAUCAGUUAGGAAUGCUUUGGCUGGCAGUGAAAGGCAACUGACUAACAGCAGUUUCACAGAGACUAUUUUUCAUACAUUAAGAAAAGAUCUGGAUGGGCAAUUGCUGGUGUUGGCUCAACGCCUCAGUUUCUGGGCUGGCAUCUUCCAGACGCUUCUGACCUUUUCCUUCCAGUCACCAGUGAUUAAAACAGCUCCAGCAGAAUGAACAAGACUGCCACCUGCUGGGAACACCUGAACUGCCUGAUGUGCAAAUUGAGGAGCAAGUUUUCUGGACUUCCAAUCACCUGAGACCUACAGGUUAAAAAUGAAGAUUCAUAGGCUCCAGACCUAUUGGAUUAGAAUCUCUGCAGGUACAGCUCAAGAAUAAGCAUUUUCAGGGGCACCUGGGGGGCGAAGUUGGCUAAGUGUCCAACUUCAGCUCAGAUCAUGAUCUCACCAUUUGUGGGUUCAAGCCCAGUCGGGCUCUGUGCUGACAGCUCAGAGCCUGGAACCUGUUUCAGAUUCUGUGUCUCCCUCUCGCUGACCCUCCCCUGUUCAUGCUCUGUCUCUCUCUGUCUCAAAAAUAAAUAAAAACGUUAAAAAAAAAAAAAAGAAUGG